UAAUUUAAAAAAAUACAAAACAAUGGACACUCCGAAAACGGUUAACAUUUGAAUUAAAAUGUUAACCGUUUUCGGAGUGUCCAUUGUUUUGUUUUUGUUUUUUCAUGUAAUAAU
rnacentral:miRNA from 1 species